GCCGGUGUAGCUCAGUUGGUAGAGCGCUUGAUUCGUAAUCAAAAGGUCGGCAGUUCGAAUCUGCCCAUCGGCU
rnacentral:tRNA from 1 species